AACGGAGGGUGCAAGCGUUGUUCGGAAUUACUGGGCGUAAAGCGCGCGUAGGCGGCUUUGUAAGUUAGAGGUGAAAGCCCGGGGCUCAACCCCGGAAUUGCCUUUAAGACUGCAUCGCUUGAAUCCGGGAGAGGUGAGUGGAAUUCCGAGUGUAGAGGUGAAAUUCGUAGAUAUUGGGAAGAACACCGGUGGCGAAGGCGGCUCACUGGCUCAUAUCUGACGCUCAGGCGCGACAGCGUGGGGAUCAAACAGG
rnacentral:rRNA from 1 species